UGGGGAAUCAUGGACAAUGGGCGAAAGCCUGAACCUGCGACGCCGCGUGAGUGAUGAAGGUCGUCAGAUCGUAAAACUCUUUUCAGGGAUCUUAACGCCCAGCUGUCAACACCGGCUGUGUCUGACUCUCCCUGGAAGAAGCCCAAGCCAACUACGUGUCACCAGCUGCGGUAAUACGUAGGGGGCGAGCGUUAUUCGGAAUGACUGGGUGUAAAGCGUAUGUAGGCGGUCCUGCAAGGCAGGUGUCAAAGGCCAGUGCUUAACGUUGGGAUUGCGUGUGAUACUGACCGGCUUGAGGGUUGGAGAGGUGAGCGGAAUUCCACGUGUAGUGGUAAAAUACGUAGAGAUCGGGAGGAACACCAGCGGCGCAGGCGGCUCACUAGACAGUUUCUGACGCUAAGAUACGAAAGCGUGGGGAGCAAACA
rnacentral:rRNA from 1 species